UAAACAGGAUCUAAUGGGAGUCUAGGAAGACUGAUUAGUAUUCCUUAUCUUCACAUUUUACAUUGGAACAUUGCUUUUAAUUUUAAUUUUUUAUGCCAGAAAGUCCUGCCUAAACUUUUCAGAGUUCGCCUUAUAAUAAAAAUAUAUCACCACUAAGACCUUAAAGCAAAUUAAGGAAAUUAAAAAAUAUGUUAUUUUUAAUAUUUCGCUUCAUAUUCUGUAAGCUAAUUAGGCAAAAUUUAGAUCAUUUUUUUAAAAAAAGAGCAUUCUUCAUAGUAACCAGAAAUGUCUCUCAUGUUCUAAAUCUGCGUCGAAAAAGAAUCUGCGUAGUUGUACAUAGCAAAGGUAAUCGAACGGAGACAUUAACCUUUACAAAAAUAACGUAGGUAUAUAUCAUUUUACAUGUU